UACAGUAUUAUCUGACUGAGUACAGGGUGUCCCACUGUAUGACAACAGAACAGCAUGACACGGCAGAAACAUCCAGAACGAAAAACAUUACUGCACAGAUGACAAUGCACAUUGUGGGAAAAAAAUAAUGUUUCUAUCGGCAGUAACGUUCGGGAAAAGGGAACUAUGACAAAUGUUUAGCAGGAUGUUUGGUUGUGAGGAACGACGUUCCAAAAACAAACUUGUGCAGAGGACGAGAGACAGAAUCAAGUAUCUGUGGUGAAAUGCAAAAUGCUGAGUUUGAGGGCUCCACCCAGGCUGGUUCCAUGAGGACCCUGAAGCUGAGAGAACUGACCCAGCAGAGAGAGACUGAGCUGGGAAAGACUGCUCUGACGAUGGUCCGUAGAGCAGCACUGCAGGCCCUCCUGGAGCAUGAGAGACAGCAGUACGUCAUAGAGCUCAACAGACUGGGCAAGACCAUCUACAAACAGAGAGUCUAGACUCUAGUCCCUACUAGACCCAUAACAACACCAAAGACCAUCUGAAGUUUAUGCUGAAAGCCAUCUAGCAGCUAGGAUGUGUGAACAAAUAUAGAAUACUUUGAAGUAUUAAUGUGAAAACAUUUACUCACAGCCAUCUACAAGCACCUUGUUUACAAUUUAAUAUGUGUUUUUUCUUUAGGAUUACAGUUUUACAUCGUAUUUCCAUAAAUAAAAAAAGGUCUGAUCUGUA